rnacentral:rRNA from 1 species
UACGAAGGGGGCUAGCGUUGUUCGGAAUUACUGGGCGUAAAGCGUGCGCAGGCGGCUUCUCAAGUCAGGGGUGAAAGCCCAGAGCUCAACUCUGGAAUUGCCUUUGAGACUGAGUGGCUUGAGUACGAGAGAGGUGAGUGGAAUUCCCAGUGCAGAGGUGAAAUUCGUAGAUAUUGGGAAGGAACACCGGGUGCGAAGGCGGCUCACUGGCUCGUAACUGACGCUCAUGCACGACAGCGUGGGGAUCAAACAGGAUUAG